rnacentral:rRNA from 1 species
UACGUAGGGUGCGAGCGUUAAUCGGAAUUACUGGGCGUAAAGCGUGCGCAGGCGGUUCGUUGUGUCUGUGGUGAAAGCCCCGAGCUUAACCUGGGAAUGGCCAUGGAAACUGGCGAGCUGGAGUGUGGCAGAGGGGGUGGAAUUCCGCGUGUAGCAGUGAAAUGCGUAGAGAUGCGGAGGAACACCGAUGGCGAAGGCAGCCCCUGGGUUGACACUGACGCUCAGGCACGAAAGCGUGGGGAGCAAACAGG